rnacentral:rRNA from 1 species
AGCGAACGCUGGCGGCAGGCCUAACACAUGCAAGUCGAACGAACCUUUCGGGGUUAGUGGCGGACGGGUGAGUAACACGUGGGAACGUGCCUUUAGGUUCGGAAUAACUCAGGGAAACUUGUGCUAAUACCGAAUGUGCCCUUCGGGGGAAAGAUUAAUCGCCUUUAGAGCGGCCCGCGUCUGAUUAGCUAGUUGGCUGAGGUAAUGGCUCACCAAGGCGACGAUCAGUAGCUGGUCUGAGAGGAUGAUCAGCCACAUUGGGACUGAGACACGGCCCAAACUCCUACGGGAGGCAGCAGUGGGGAAUCUUGCGCAAUGGGCGAAAGCCUGACGCAGCCAUGCCGCGUGAAUGAUGAAGGUCUUAGGAUUGUAAAAUUCUUUCACCGGGGACGAUAAUGACGGUACCCGGAGAAGAAGCCCCGGCUAACUUCGUG